rnacentral:lncRNA from 1 species
GCGUGCAUCUGCAUCAGCAUCAGCAGUAACAUCGACAGCACCACAGACACCACGCGGUCUAACGCGACUACGGUUUGACAUUUCUCGAAGACAAAUGCCAUACACGCCUCGAACUAGGUUGUUUACAAGAUCCCGCAUAAAGUUCCAGGAAAUGUUGUUCAACGCAACUCCCAAUCCGCGGUCGUAGAAUUUUCAAAUCUCCGAGUGUUCUUCUGCCAUGAAAUCUUUUCGCAUAAAAACCAUUUGCAGUUGGGAGGCGACCUUAAGUCUCUUCAUUUGCUUGACAAGAUCAACAUGCACAUUAUGGAUAAAAAGAUACUAAACUCGUUUUAUGUAUGCAUUCAAAAAAAUAGCGGAAGGGCAGCUAACUAUAAUAGGAGUAUAUGAAGGCCUGAAAGAAUGUGUAGACACUACAUCGAAAUCCCGUGUAUGGAAGAUUACGAUAGCAAUAAUUCGCUUCUCGUUAUGGUAGGAUUGAUCUGAUCCGUGCAUCCUGUGCAUACGGACGGGAGUUGGCUGUUAAACCUUAAAUUUUUUCAAGAAUCUGAUUAGCAUUACAUUAACUACUUAAAAAAAUGGUUACUUAAAUUAAAAUAUUAAUUCCAACUAAACCCACAUACGACGACAUUUCUCGUAAAUGAAUGCUUUUUGUAGUUUCCCCUAAAGAAAACGAUAGAUUAAUAAACGAUUGUAUUAAAGAGCAUUAUUUGAAUAUGGUGUUCAGCUGCCGUUGGCUGCAAUCUCGACGCAUUUCUGUGAAGCCACGAUCAGGGUUCGUUUACAUGGAGAUCGAUGAAAUUUUGCUGUUUUUCAUUAUGAUUAUUUUUUGUGUAAGUUUAUUCUU